UGUUAGCUAGUUGGUGGGUAGUGGCCUACCAAGGCAAUGAUGGGUAGCCGGGUUGAGAGACCGACCGGCCAGAUUGGGACUGAGACACGGCCCAGACUCCUACGGGAGGCAGCAGUGGGGAAUCUUGCACAAUGGGCGAAAGCCUGAUGCAGCGACGCCGCGUGCGGGAUGAAAGCCUUCGGUUGUAAACCGCUUUCAACAGGGACGAGGCCGCAAGGUGACGGUACCUGCAGAAGAAGCCCCGGCUAACUACGUGCCAGCAGCCGCGGUAAAU
rnacentral:rRNA from 1 species